GCAAACAUGAGUUGAGUUAAUCUGAGCAUUUUCCGGUUUGGUAUGGGCGGUCUGUUUAUCAACAUUUAGCUUCCCCUGUGUGGAAGAAGACCCCUCCAGCUUUGUCCUUUUACCUCUCAAGCUGAAAGUUGACUGAUGGAAAUCUCCGGGGAACAGGAGUCAGACUUCCGAAGAGUCGAAAUUCAACAGAAACAUAUUAUGGAGGAGGAAGAUGAUGAAUGGCAGCCUAGUAAGCAGGGGAGAAACUCCAGUCUGGACCAAGGAGGACCAGAACCUCCACAGAUCAAAGAGGAUCCAGAGGAACAGUGCAGUGAUCAGGAAGAGGAGCAGAAUCAGGAGACUGACGUGAAGGUGGAGUUCAAGUCUGAAUAUGGAGAAACAACUGAAGACUCAGACAAUAUGUUUGAAUUCAACGAAGAGAUGGAUCAGCAGUAUUGCGUAAGAAAUAUUAUCAGGAUUCCUGAGAGACAGCUCCAUGAAAUAGAUGUCCCACAGGGAUACGAGUAUAAAAAGGAGGAUGACCCAGAACCUCUACAGAUCAAAGAGGAACCAGAGGAACCGUGGGGUAACCAGGAGGGAGAGCAGCUGCUCCCGCAUCAGGAGCCUGAUGUGAAGGUGGAGUUCAUGUCUGAAUGUGAGGAAAAAUCCGAAGACAGCGAAAAUUUCAUGUUUGAGUUCAAGCAAGAGACAGAUCAAGAGUGCAGUCUGCAGAACAUCAUCGAGGAUUCUGAAGUAGAACCGCAAAACAAAGCCACAUCAUCCACUUCCACUGGAUCUCAUCUGGACGAUCAGGAGACAUUUGAUCCUCCCACCAUUGCUGGGCCUUCGACUUUGAACAGGAAAAGGAAGCGAAAGACGAGGCUAGACGCCACCGAUGUGAUGAAUGCCUUCCUGGAAAUCCAACAGCAGCAGCACGAGGAGUUUAUGCGUGCGGAGGAGCUGCGUCACCAGCAGGAGACGCAGAUGUUGAGGGACUGGAUGAAGGCGGACAGAGAGAUGGAGGAACGUCACCUGGAACUGCAGAGCCAGACUAACCACAUGUUUGAGAGAAUAAUGACCCGACUCCUGGACUUCAUGGUGCCUCCAACCCAUCAAAAGAUGUCUCGAGCCCAACAAACUCCUCAGAGUUUUUACUUGGAUUAUUAAGCGAUGGCAGAGGAACCCAGACCAUGAUCACCACAAGCUUGUUGCAAAACUGUUGCAUUUUUUUUUUUUGUUAUUGUGUCUCAGUGCUGAUAAGAGUAAAGAUUUUUUGAUAAGUUCUUUUUAACAACUAUUGUUUGCUUUUUUCUUUAGUUACUACUUUUCUGUUUGGAUUAAAAUAUCUUCCUCAAAGGAUUUCUUCUUUUUGUUGUUUUUGACCCUGCAGCCAAACAUUUUCUUCAACAUUUAUCAAAAUCCUGAAAUCCUACAAGGUGUGAUGAUUUUUGUUAUGUUGCUGAUGUGCCAAUUCUACGUCUACUUCAGCCAAUGCCUUCUUUAUUUGAAGAAGGAAGUCAGCUUUGGCUGAUCUGAUGCCAAACGCCCUCUGCACGGUCAUGCUGUCCUGAAACAGCUGUUCUGCAUAAUCUGUGCAGAAAUUUGGUAAGUUUUGAGUAAAGAGAGCAGAAGCUAAGUAAUGGCUGUAAAAUGUGUACAAGAGACUCAGUUGUCAAGGAGCAACAAUACAGUUUGACCCAUCAGGAUAUCUACAUCAUAAACUUUUCCUGGCCAGCCCACAUCAAUGCCUUGGAAACCAUUUUAAUGCAGCUCCCUGUUGGGAGAUGAAAAAAGACAGCUGGGAAAUAUCUAAGUAUAAUUUUGAAUAUAAAUUAUUUUCUAUUGUUAUUAUUGUAUUUCUAGGGCAGUAAGUAGAUUCUAUUCCACUGAAUUUCUCAUAGAAGACUGUUUUUGUUGACAUACAGGGACAGGAUAGGUAUCAAACUGACUUCUGAUAAACCUGUGUGUACAUUUCCCAUCAACAAGACUAAUUUAGCUAAGAUGUUAUAUCAAAGCUAUUCAUCCAGCAGAGGUUUACUGAUGGAAACUUCCCAAAACACAAGAAUCAAAUUUUUGUAUGACCGGUAUGUAUUUCUUUAGAAGACUGGAAGUGAAAAAGGUUAAAACAAAACGUUUGUUGGAAAAUUUACAGUAUAGCAACCCACUGACUGCAGCUUUGAAAGGUGAUAUUAAACUUAGGAUAUCGAAUAUUUUAACUUCAAGAUAUGUCUAAUCUUAAAAUUAUUCUGAAUAAAAUUUACAAAUUUUCCCCAAAUGUCUGCAUAUUUUAUUUUAACAAUGUGUUAUUUUAAAGAGAGUGUGUUUUGUUGCAGCUUUUCACAGUAUCUGUUAGGGAUGGGUUAGAAGGAGAACAGGAGAGCGAUGCUUUUAUGGUCUCUAUGCAUGAUCAGGA
rnacentral:lncRNA from 1 species